rnacentral:lncRNA from 1 species
UCCUUCUUCCUUUAAUUGCAUCACAAAUCCAUUUUUAUACAAGUAUAAACAAAGAGAAGAGGACACAUCGAGCAAUCGUGGCUCCCCCUCUUUGUUUUAUAGUAAGUACAUAUUGCGAAGCUGCUGCUCAUGUCAUCUUGGCGCUGGUCCGGUCACUCCUCCGAAUCAGAGUCCAGCGGGCAGGAGCCGUCGUCGAUGGUGGCCAGUGGGUCGAACAUGUGCGAGGUCCGGUCCAUGCACCCGGUCACGAUGUCCAGCUUGCACCGGUCUCCUCCCUCCUCGUAGAAGCCGCCGAUAUCGCAGCUCGUGAUGACGAUGUUUUCAUCCGGAAAGAUGGCCCUGUCGCAGGCGCCCUCCAUGUUGAGCUCGUCAGCCAGCCCCUGCACCGACACCACCACUUCUUAUUACCGACUUCCAUUGCUUCACUUUAUAUGAAAGAUGGGGCCCACUGUGGCAGGGUGAUGGCUAGGCAUUCUUAACUCUUGACCUUUGUCAUGGAGUGUUUGAGAAACGUAAUUAAUU